AUCCAGCUGGCGAGUCCCAAAUAGGACGAAAUGCGCCUUAUCCCGGAU
rnacentral:hammerhead_ribozyme from 1 species